AUUGAACGCUGGCGGCAUGCCUUACACAUGCAAGUCGAACGGUAACAGGUCUUCGGACGCUGACGAGUGGCGAACGGGUGAGUAAUACAUCGGAACGUGCCCAGUCGUGGGGGAUAACUACUCGAAAGAGUAGCUAAUACCGCAUACGAUCCGAGGAUGAAAGCGGGGGAACUUCGGGCCUCGCGCGAUUGGAGCGGCCGAUGGCAGAUUAGGUAGUUGGUGGGAUAAAAGCUGACCAAGCCGACGAUCUGUAACUGGUCUGAGAGGACGACCAGCCACACUGGGACUGAGACACGGCCCAGACUCCUACGGGAGGCAGCAGUGGGGAAUUUUGGACAAUGGGCGAAAGCCUGAUCCAGCAAUGCCGCGUGCAGGAUGAAGGCCUUCGGGUUGUAAACUGCUUUUGUGCGGAACGAAAAAGGCUCCUCUAAUACAGGAGGCCCAUGACGGUACCGUAAGAAUAAGCACCGGCUAACUACGUGCCAGCCGCCGCGGUAA
rnacentral:rRNA from 1 species